GUGCUGUCCCGACGAGGAAGACCCUGUUCUGUGUGUGCUGCCCUGGGGGCUUUGUCCUGCACAGGCCUGGAUUUCAGGGAAACCCCCCAGCAGCCGUUCCGACCAAGGGCACAGAGAGCCGACAUCAGCCACAGACUGGACUUCCGGGAAGCCUGUGGGGAGCUCUCUGUGUUGGGAAGCCACAAAGGGCCUGGUCAGAGCCGGGUUUGUUUAUUUUACUAUUUACUUACUUAUUUAUUUUGGGGUAGGGUUUCACUACGCAGCCCAGGCUGACCUCCCACUUGCAGCGCCGGGAUCGCAGGUGUGCACCACGAGGCCCAGUCAGAGCCCGGUUCCGGAAGUGAGCAUCCUACUGUGAGCAGCCUAACUACAGGAAGGUCACCCAUACUCUGGCUGCACCCUGCAUGCCUAAGAUCUGGAUCUCUUCCAUAACAGAUGCAAAGUCAUACUUCCUCCUGCUCCUGUCGUCACAAUGCCAAAUUAGAAAUUACAGUUGUUUCCAGGGCUUGGAGCUCAGGGGUAGAGUGCUUGCCUGUCAUGGACAAAGCCCUGGGUUCCAUCCUCAGCAUGGCAAGAUAACACCAACGUUUUAUGGUAUGUAAUAUGCAAUCUUGCAGUGUUAGAGUGCAUGCGUGUGUGCGUGUGUGUGUGUGUGUGUGUGUGUGUGUGUGUGUGUGUGAAAGUCUCUUAUUUGCAUUUGGCCAAACUCCAAUGAAUACUUUUUGUUUUUUGAGUCAGGGUCUCACAAUGUAGUUCUGGCUGGCCUCAAUGUCACAGUGCUAGGAUUAUAGAGGCGAGUCCUCAGGUCCGGCCCUAACCAAUACUGUACUUUUGAAAACAAGAUUUCAUUUGAUUUUAUUUUUUUGGUACCAGGGAUUGAACUUGGGUCCUUAGGCUUGCGAGGCAGAUGGCGGAACUACUGAGCUAAAUCCCUGAGCUUGAAAAUGAGAUUCUAAUCAGAAUGGCCCAGGGUAGAUUUCGGAGGAG
rnacentral:lncRNA from 1 species